rnacentral:rRNA from 1 species
UGGGGAAUAUUGCACAAUGGGCGCAAGCCUGAUGCAGCCAUGCCGCGUGUGUGAAGAAGGCCUUCGGGUUGUAAAGCACUUUCAGCGAGGAGGAAGGGUAGUGUGUUAAUAGCACAUUGCAUUGACGUUACUCGCAGAAGAAGCACCGGCUAACUCCGUGCCCGCAGCCGCGGUAAUACGGAGGGUGCAAGCGUUACUCGGAAUUACUGGGCGUAAAGCGCACGCAGGCGGUUUGUUAAGUCAGAUGUGAAAUCCCCGCGCUUAACGUGGGAACUGCAUUUGAAACUGGCAAGCUAGAGUCUUGUAGAGGGGGGUAGAAUUCCAGGUGUAGCGGUGAAAUGCGUAGAGAUCUGGAGGAAUACCGGUGGCGAAGGCGGCCCCCUGGACAAAGACUGACGCUCAGGUGCGAAAGCGUGGGGAGCAAACA